rnacentral:rRNA from 1 species
CACGUAGGGCGCAAGCGUUGUCCGGAAUUAUUGGGCGUAAAGAGCUCGUAGGUGGUUUGUUACGUCUGCUGUGAAAACCUAGGGCUUAACCCUGGGCUUGCAGUGGAUACGGGCAGACUAGAGAUAGGUAGGGGAGAAUGGAAUUCCUGGUGUAGCGGUGAAAUGCGCAGAUAUCAGGAGGAACACCGGUGGCGAAGGCGGUUCUCUGGGCCUUACCUGACACUGAGGAGCGAAAGCGUGGGGAGCGAACAGG